rnacentral:rRNA from 1 species
UACGAAGGGGGCGAGCGUUGUUCGGAUUUACUGGGCGUAAAGGGCGCGUAGGCGGCCAUCUUUGUCAGGCGUGAAAGCCCCGGGCUCAACCUGGGAAUUGCAUUCGAGACUGCGUAGCUAGGGUGCGGAAGAGGGAAGCGGAAUUUCCGGUGUAGCGGUGAAAUGCGUAGAUAUCGGAAGGAACACCAGUGGCGAAAGCGGCUUCCUGGUCCAGCACCGACGUUCAGGCACGAAAGCGUGGGGAGCAAACAGG